UACGUAGGGGGCAAGCGUUGUCCGGAUUCACUGGGCGUAAAGCGCGCGUAGGUGGCCAUGUAAGUCCGCUGUGAAAGUCAAAGGCUCAACCUUUGAAAGCCGGUGGAUACUGCAUGGCUAGAGUACGGAAGAGGCGAGUGGAAUUCCUGGUGUAGCGGUGGAAUGCGCAGAUAUCAGGAGGAACACCAAUAGCGAAGGCAGCUCGCUGGGGACGUUACUGACACUGAGGCGCGAAAGCGUGGGGAGCGAACAGG
rnacentral:rRNA from 1 species